rnacentral:rRNA from 1 species
GGCCCCUCUCGGGUUACCGAAUUCAGACAAACUCCGAAUGCCAAAUAAUUUAACUUGGGAGUCAGAAUGUGGGUGAUAAGGUCCAUAUUCGAAAGGGAAACAGCCCAGACCACCAGCUAAGGUCCCAAAAUAUAUGUUAAGUGGAAAAGGAUGUGGCGUUGCCCAGACAACUAGGAUGUUGGCUUAGAAGCAGCCAUCAUUUAAAGAGUGCGUAAUAGCUCACUAGUCGAGUGACACUGCGCCGAAAAUGUACCGGGGCUAAACAUAUUACCGAAGCUGUGGAUUGUCCUUUGGACAAUGGUAGGAGAGCGUU